ACUUAUCUCAUAUGUGUGGAGAGGGAGAAGUCAAGAGUGGAGUGCUGAGCUGAGACAGAGAGGAGCCUCGAACAGCUGACGACUCCAAACUCCGAUGCCGAAAUGGAAGGCUGGCCGCUGGCGAGUGGCGAUGACUGGCGGAGGGAGCCGCUGAAGGGCUAUCGGCGGCCACUUUCUGAAUUGCAUACGAAUAGAAAACACCAAGGCAUGACCUCUAUUGCCUUGUGCUAGGGUAAGAUCAAAUAGGCUCCUCUCAUGCUCUCUGAGACUGCCCAAAGCCAUAACCCCAAAUGGCUUGUGCUGAGCAACGGGGGAAGGAAUAUGAGGAUGUAGCCCCAAGCAGGAGAUUAUCAGUUAAGAUCUAUGGCGGUGUAAGCCUUGGUAAACUUAGGGACAAAACCAGCCGAUUUACUAUGCCCAGCUCAGCUGAACAAUUACCAUUUUGAUAAAGCCAAGGGUGAUUUCUUGUUUAA